ACGAGAGGCGAAGAAGAAAAUCGCAUUGCUUUCACUUUCACUGCACUUAUAUUUUUAAACGAAUAUGUUUGGUCGUAGUUAACGAUCGAUUUUCACAAAAGGACAUUUUUAUUGUUUAGCAUGCUAACUUAAUACUGUUUAUGGUGUUAUAGAAUAUGAACACGUUUGCACAGCAAAUUGCGUGUUGGAAGUAAGAUCGAAACGGUUUAGACAGCUGGUGUUUGAUCACUAAAAGUUAUUAAUCAUGAAUGUAUCUAGCUCUUCGUCGACUGUAUUUUGUAGUCUGAUAGUUUUUUGCGUAACGUUACUUUUUGUCAUUGCCUACGCAAAUGGGAAUAACGACGAUGAGUGGAUUGAUCCUUAUGACAUGCUAAAUUAUGACCCAACAGCAAAGCGCAUGAGAAAGCCAACAGAGCCAGCAAGUUACGACAACGUGCCAACCAAGAGAAGAGAGUUCAAUUCAGACUCACGUGACCCAUCACAGUUUCCUGACGUCUCUGAAUGCCUGAAUAAACUUGAGAUGUUGCAGAAAGAGGUUGAUGAACACAAAAAGAAGGGGGGCGUCUCUCAACACCCAACAUGCUAUCCAGUAUUCAAGCGUUUCCUUUCCAAGCUUCUUAAAGAGGCGGCAAGACUUGGCCUUCCCAAUGAUGCACAUACAGUUAUGCAUUAUGACACUGAGGUGAAACUGUCCAAGCAAACGGUGUCGGAGUUCAAUAAGCUUUUGAAAGAAGACAACGACUGGACCACCGGAGCCAUGGAUGACGCCCUCAGUCAAGUUCUGAUGAAAUUUAAACAUCAUAAUCCCGAAAAAUGGAAGUGGCGGUUCGAGGACACUUUUUAUGUGGAGGUGGAUACUGUCUUGAAGAUCUUAUCGUGUGUUCUUGUUGUCACCGCUGUUAUCUGCACUGAAAUGUGGUCUAUGGUGUCCUGGUUCAUCCAGUUUAAGAGAAUGUUUGCCGUCUGCUUUUUCAUUAGCUUGAUCUGGAACUGGUUUCAUCUUUAUAUGCUUGCAUUUGCAGAGCACCAGAAGAACACCGUGAAGGUGGAGAACUUCAAUGAGAAAUGUACUGGGCUGAAACAAAUGGACUGGAAGGACAGUUUGUCAGAGUGGUAUAGACGUACAUGGACACUUCAAGAUGAUCCUUGCAAACAAUACUACGAGGUGCUGCUUGUGAACCCUAUCUUACUUGUACCCCCAACAAAGGCUAUCACAGUCACCAUAACCAACUUCAUCACAGAUCCACUGAAGCACAUCGGUCAGGGCAUCAGCGAGUUCCUCAUAGCUUUGCUGAAAGAUCUGCCAGUCACUCUCCAGAUACCUGUGCUGCUUUUGAUCGGGGCAGCCAUCCUUCUUUUCGUGUACGGAAGUGCUCAUGCGGCUAUACAACAUGCAUUACCUUGGCCCCGGCUUGGUGGACGUCAUGACCCGCCGCCUCCUGCGGUAGCACAUCAGCCAGCUCCUCAAUUAAGAGAGCACGGACACUGGGCAGGUGGAGAUGCACCACUGCCACUACAACUGCCCCAGGAGGGCAACAGGAUCAAUCAAGCAGGAAACCUCGUUAACCAGGGAUUUAGGGGUCGGAAUGCCAAUGCAGAUAUGUAUACCGUUCAGCCAAGAGAAAGGGACGAUCAAAGCAGCAUGGUCCUCCGACAUCGAUUUAAUGCCAGGCCCGGAGAGGCGCAAACUGUUCGGGUCGAGAAUCUGCGCUUUGUAGGUAGCGCCUCUGGUGAGGACAACAUUGAUUUUCAACAGGGAACACAGGAGCCGGGUCCUGAGAUCGAGGGAGUUGGAGAACCUAAAGUGAAGGAAGUCCUAAAAGAGGAAGAAAAGGAGAAUAGCGCGUCUAGUAAAGACAAAGAGCAGAAAGACGCUCAGACUCAGGACAAAAGUGAGAAUGAACCCAUAAGCAAUGAGCCGUCUCAACAAAUAGAUGUAAAGACCUUGGGUGCUGAACAAGGGAAUGAUAAAGGAGCUGCGUGAACUUUCUUUCUAACCUUCAUUGUCAGGCAGGUUGGAACGACAUAAAGCACUUUACGUUCAGUAAAAGGAUGUGGGCUGCUCGAAAUAACAUCAACCUGCAAGUUUUUACUGGGGCAUCAGGAGACACAACGGAAGUCCUCGGAGAGGAAAAAUGUUCAAGCUUUAGGACUCCAGUUCAAGAAACACAGCCAUAAAAUUGUCUCAAUGCUACGUCUUUCAUGCAAUUCUUUAUUUUAAAAUAAAAUAUAUUUUAGUAUUCUCUCUGUCGAUAGUUAGUUUUGAGUGAAGCACUUAAGUUCACUGAACUUUGCUGAAUUAACAUGCAUCCUUGGAGAGAAGGUUUACAACAUCAAGAAAUGGGACAUUUACACCACACCAAUAUUUUAUAUAUGAAUAAUUUUAAAGUCUUGUAUAAGCAAAGGAGUAUAUUCAUGAAAUCUUGUUUUGGUUAAGUUGAUAUUUGUAGUAGGAAAACUGAUGAAUUUUCAGGGGCUUUUCAUGACGUAUAUUGCAUUUCUUUUUUUUUUCUGUAUUACACAAAGUAUGUGCCCCUGUAAUGGUGCUACCUAUAUUUAUAAAGGUAUUGCUUACUCUUAGUUUUCUUAGUCCAUCCAUACAGCUGGCACUUUCUGUUGUCAUUUUUUUUUUACAAAAAAACCCUAAAUUAAAUAAUAUGCUCUCUUUUUAAAGAAGAUAUUAGCAAAGCACAUAUCUAUUGGUGUAAAUUUCUUGGAUCUAUUACCUGGAGACAUGUUUGGCGUGAUAACCAUGUUAUAUUACAAAUAAAUUUCAUUAGGCAUGGGUGUAAACUUUUUGUUCAUUGCAACUAGAAGCUACCUCAUGUUUUCUGCCAUCGAUGUACAAAAAUAUUAUGGUGGAAGGUAUCUAUGUAAAUUAUGUAGUUUUGUUUCAUUAUAUGUACAUUUGAUAUUUGUUUUACAUGGAUAAUAUAAUGAAUAAAUAAACAUGUGAAGGAUUAUGUAUUA